rnacentral:tRNA from 1 species
GCCGCUGUAGCUCAGUGGUAGAGCGCACCCUUGGUAAGGGUGAGGUCGAGAGUUCGACUCUCUCUAGCGGCU